rnacentral:lncRNA from 1 species
CUUAAAGUACUUAAAAAUGUUUCAUUUUUAACGUUUUAUGCAUUUAGUUAAUAUUUUUGUGAGUUCUUUUUCCUCAAAGUUCAAAAACUACACCACUGCAUCAGCAGUUUCAUAAAAAAAAAAAAACUAAAAACCCAGGAUUGCCAGUACUUCUCUAAAAGUUUAUAUCAUUUUCAUCAAAUUAAGGCCUUUUUUUGUUCACCCUGCAGGAUCAACAUGACAACUUUCACAGAGAAGUCUGCCGUUUCCCAUGAGGCCUUUUGCAAUCCUUCAAAAAUAUCUCAAGCAUUCCUAAAGAUCAUCAUCUCUUUUAGCAGUUUAACUGCUGCCCUUAAAAAUGUUUUUUUUAAGAACUUUGCCCCAAAAGCUCAAGUUCCUUAAAAAAAAAAGCAGACAAACACACACAAAGCAGAGCGGACAGGCCGUGUGUUGAAAUGCUGGUCAAAGAAUGACGAGAGAUAACCAGAUUGUCUUAAACAGACACUAACCUUUGACAUGCCGGUGAAAUAAAUGCUGAUGUCUGGGUUUGAAUCUGAGAGAUAAAAGGGAACGAAUGAUCGUUCCUGAAGGCAGGGGGUCGGGAAAGGCUCAUGCAUAGUUCACGCAAAACAGUGACCCUUACUUGCAUUGCAGUGUGGCAGUCACUUACAGACUCUUAUCUCUGAAAAUGACAGCAUUCAUCUUACUCAAUGUUGCUACUGACAAGAAGCAGCCGGAUGCUCAGACACGCAGAACACACGUGUGCCAACAAACUGGCCAGUCAAGAACAAAUUAUCUCCGUUCUCAUGCUGAGCGAUACUCAGGGACUCAUGACAGAAAAGGCGCCCAAACGCUUCCAUCGCGAGGUGACGGAUCGAGUAAGUCAGCUCAGCAGGCUGCACACCCGACAGGAAGGACCCACAGAGACAGCAGGGAGGGCCUCUGCAAGUCAAGUCUGGAUGUACUGUCGACAUAGAUGGUGGAAAAACAAUAAAUACCCAUGAAUUUUAAAGCAGUUUUAGUUCCACAAGUUUGUUUUUUAUGAACAAAUGCACUCAAUAAUCAAGAAUU